UGGGUGUCUUCGCGAAGAUUUUUAUUCCUCCAGCCGCCGGGCAAACAAAAAAAAAAAUGUUUGUAAUAAAAAAAAAUUGAGUUUAAAUUUUCAAUCUUGUUGUGUGACUCUGUGUGAUGAUAAAUCUUCAAGACGGUAAGCUUCAGCAAUACUAGAAUUCGCUAUUCGUGUCGCGUCGUGUCGUUUGAGUCUCGGAAUUCUUAGUUUUUUCUUGUUUUACGUAUGAUGACACCUUGAAGUAAGUAGUUUUAGUUUUAAAAAACUCCUGGAUUGUUUAAGCCAAAAAAUACUGGCAAAGUUUGAGGAAAAUCACCAUUUUCUGUUUAUUUGGAGGGGUAUUGCCAAACUGCGCAAAACGUUUUAAGUUGGAGUUAAUGUUUUUGUGUUAAUGUAGUAAUAAUUUUGUUCAUGUAGAUUAAUUCAAUUUGGGUCGGCUGAUAUUAUUUAGGCUUCGUCAGGUAAUGAAUUUUUAUUAUUUGCAUAUAUUUUUUCAAUUUAUUUUAAAAAUCACUUUAACCAUGUUAAAUGUUAACACAAACAAACUAACUCAAAAUUAAACGAAAGGAAAAUAACGCAAAAAAUACGUGGCAACGCCGCAUUGUGUUGAAUUCCCGAAAAAGCCAAAUAUUCUCAUCAAAAUAAAACAUCAUCAAGAAAAUCGAGAAAAAUCACCGCAAUCUCAUUUUUGUGCAUAAAUUAGUGGUUUUGGAAAACGGGAUUUCAAAAGUUUGUAAGUGGUUUUGGAUUAACUUAUGGACAAUCCAGUACUUUUUUUCGCAGAAAGUGCUUUAUUUAAAGUGUUCUUACCUUUAAAAAGAAAGGAAAAGCUAAAAAUUAGUAGGGAUUCAAACGACGCUAGAAUUAUUCAUUUCAAUUCAACGCUAGAAUUAUUUACAUGUUGCAUACAUUUUAUAAUAAACUUUAAAGAAAAGCACAACAUGGUGCAUAACAACAGGUGUUUAUUUCCUAGAAAUGACAAAUUGAUAAAUAUUUGGACCAGCCAGGUUGGACAAUAUGGGCAGUACGCAUAGAUUUGUUUGUAAUAGACAUUUUCAUGAUGUGUGUAUCAAGGCGAACGGUGGACUCCAAAUUCUCAACCAACAAAAAACCUUCCAGGUUUUCAAGGUACAGCUUCCAUAGAGAAUAGCUUCUAUCGAGAGAGUAUAGUAUCUUCUAAGGGAUGUGUAACUCCCGAGAAAAAUCAAGAUGGUAGUCGUAUGGCACAGUCAAACACGUUUUUUACCCAUACGAGUCCGUUGGAGAGCGUACUUAGGCCAGCAAACGUAUAUCCUGGCAAAAGACGCUUGAUGCCAAAGUGUGCGAUAUUUCUGGACCAUCGCAUGAACAUGUUCAUGCCACAUCAAAUAUCGCCCACAGUUCCAGGCUGCCAAGACACUCUUUCCAAGGAGAGCAGCUUAAAUCAUACAGCAUCAGCACCAUAAAUCUCUCAUCACUCAUCAAUUGUGUGCGCCGAAAAAAUUUAAAGGCACGUUUGUAUUUGAUAUAUUUUAUUGCCGUAGCUUUUCCAUUUAUGGAAGUUUUCUCAUCAAAAUUAUAUAGAUAGUUAAUUAUCUUUACAAACAGAAGCUGAACUUAUAACUGUACACAUUCAUAAUUAAAUUGAUUAGUAGUGGACAAUGUGUAUAUAUAGUAUCAAUUUUUCCAUAUCUCAUUCCAAUUAUUAUAUAAUAUCUAAUUAUAUGUAUAUACAAUGUUGUCCAUAAACCUACCUAAAUAUGUAUCUGCAUUAGUAAUUGUACUAAAUUAAUGAAUUUGUUAUGUUACUUUGAAUUAGGUAUUUGUUUAAUUUCUGAAUUUUUGAUGCACGACAUGAUUUUUCUUCUUGAGCAAAUGUUUCUGGUUUCUAUAAGAAACACCUUUCACAAAUUAAUGGUACUUGGCGUUUCGCCUAUUUAUUUACUGCAAUAAAAAUUUCUAAAUGUU
rnacentral:lncRNA from 1 species